rnacentral:rRNA from 1 species
CCUUUUGUAUAAUGGGUCAGCUACUUAUAUUCUGUAGCAAGGUUAACCGUAUAGGGGAGCCGCAGGGAAACCGAGUCUUAACUGGGCGUUAAGUUGCAGGGUAUAGACCCGAAACCCGGUGAUCUAGCCAUGGGCAGGUUGAAGGUUGGGUAACACUAACUGGAGGACCGAACCGACUAAUGUUGAAAAAUUAGCGGAUGACUUGUGGCUGGGGGUGAAAGGCCAAUCAAACCGGGAGAUAGCUGGUUCUCCCCGAAAGCUAUUUAGGUAGCGCCUCGUGAAUUCAUCUUCGGGGGUAGAGCACUGUUUCGGCUAGGGGGUCAUCCCGACUUACCAACCCGAUGCAAACUACGAAUACCGAAGAAUGUUAUCACGGGAGACACACGGCGGGUGCUAACGUCCGUCGUGAAGAGGGAAACAACCCAGACCGCCAGCUAAGGUCCCAAAGUCAUGGUUAAGUGGGAAACGAUGUGGGAAGGCACAGACAGCCAGGAUGUUGGCUUAGAAGCAGCCAUCAUUUAAAGAAAGCGUAAUAGCUCACUGGUCGAGUCGGCCUGCGCGGAAGAUGUAACGGGGCUAAACCAUGCACCGAAGCUGCGGCAGCGACACUAUGUGUUGUUGGGUAGGGGAGCGUUCUGUAAGCCUGCGAAGGUGUGCUGUGAGGCAUGCUGGAGGUAUCAGAAGUGCGAAUGCUGACAUAAGUAACGAUAAAGCGGGUGAAAAGCCCGCUCGCCGGAAGACCAAGGGUUCCUGUCCAACGUUAAUCGGGGCAGGGUGAGUCGACCCCUAAGGCGAGGCCGAAAGGCGUAGUCGAUGGGAAACAGGUUAAUAUUCCUGUACUUGGUGUUACUGCGAAGGGGGGACGGAGAAGGCUAUGUUAGCCGGGCGACGGUUGUCCCGGUUUAAGCAUGUAGGCUGAUUGUCCAGGCAAAUCCGGAUAAUCAAGGCUGAGGUGUGAUGACGAGGCACUACGGUGCUGAAGUAACAAAUGCCCUGCUUCCAGGAAAAGCCUCUAAGCAUCAGGUAACAUCAAAUCGUACCCCAAACCGACACAGGUGGUCAGGUAGAGAAUACCAAGGCGCUUGAGAGAACUCGGGUGAAGGAACUAGGCAAAAUGGUGCCGUAACUUCGGGAGAAGGCACGCUGGUGUGUAGGUGAAGCCCCUGCGGGUGGAGCUGAGACCAGUCGAAGAUACCAGCUGGCUGCAACUGUUUAUUAAAAACACAGCACUGUGCAAACACGAAAGUGGACGUAUACGGUGUGACGCCUGCCCGGUGCCGGAAGGUUAAUUGAUGGGGUUAUCCGUAAGGAGAAGCUCUUGAUCGAAGCCCCGGUAAACGGCGGCCGUAACUAUAACGGUCCUAAGGUAGCGAAAUUCCUUGUCGGGUAAGUUCCGACCUGCACGAAUGGCGUAAUGAUGGCCAGGCUGUCUCAACCCGAGACUCAGUGAAAUUGAACUCGCUGUGAAGAUGCAGUGUACCCG